GAUGAAGAACGUAGCGAAAUGCGAUAAGUAAUGUGAAUUGCAGAAUUCAGUGAAUCAUCGAAUCUUUGAACGCACAUUGCGCCCGCCAGUAUUCUGGCGGGCAUGCCUGUCUGAGCGUCAUUUCAACCCUCAUGCCCCUAGGGCGUGGUGUUGGGGAUCGGCCAAAGCCCGCGAGGGACGGCCGGCCCCUAAAUCUAGUGGCGGACCCGUCGUGGCCUCCUCUGCGAAGUAGUGAUAUUCCGCAUCGGAGAGCGACGAGCACCUGCCGUUAAACCCCCAACUUUCCAAGGUUGACCUCAGAUCAGGUAGGAAUACCCGCUGAACUUAAGCAUAUCAAUAAGCGGAGGA
rnacentral:misc_RNA from 1 species